rnacentral:rRNA from 1 species
UACGUAGGGGGCAAGCGUUGUCCGGAAUCAUUGGGCGUAAAGCGCGUGUAGGCGGUCCGGUAAGUCCGCUGUGAAAGUCGGGGGCUCAACCCUCGGAUGCCGGUGGAUACUGUCGGGCUUGAGUACGGAAGAGGCGAGUGGAAUUCCUGGUGUAGCGGUGAAAUGCGCAGAUAUCAGGAGGAACACCAAUUGCGAAGGCAGCUCGCUGGGACGUUACUGACGCUGAGACGCGAAAGCGUGGGGAGCAAACCGG